rnacentral:rRNA from 1 species
CGUGCAGGCGGUCUGGUAAGUCGGGCGUGAAAUCUCUCGGCUCAACCGAGAGGGGUCGUCCGAUACUGCUGGACUUGAGGGCAGUAGAGGAAGGUGGAAUUCCCGGUGUAGUGGUGAAAUGCGUAGAUAUCGGGAGGAACACCAGUGGCGAAGGCGGCCUUCUGGGCUGCCCCUGACGCUCAGACGCGAAAGCUAGGGGAGCGAACGGGAUUAGAAACCCCGGUAGUCCUAGCCGUAAACUAUGCAGACUGGGUGUCGGCGGUCUCAACCCCGCCGGUGCCGUAGCCAACGCGAUAAGUCUGCCACCUGGGGACUACGGCCGCAAGGUUAAA